rnacentral:rRNA from 1 species
UACGGAGGGUGCGAGCGUUGUUCGGAAUCACUGGGCGUAAAGCGCGUGCAGGCGGCUCCUUAAGUCUGGUGUGAAAGCCCGGGGCUUACCCCCGGAAGGGCACUGGAAACUGGGGAGCUGGAGUACCGGAGAGGAGGGUGGAAUUCCUGGUGUAGCGGUGAAAUGCGUAGAUAUCAGGAGGAACACCGGUGGCGAAGGCGGCCCUCUGGACGGAUACUGACGCUGAGACGCGAAAGCGUGGGGAGCAAACAGG